UACGGGGGGAGCAAGCGUUGUUCGGAAUCACUGGGCGUAAAGCGCGCGUAGGCGGCUUGAAAAGUUGGGUGUGAAAUCCCGGGGCUCAACCCCGGAACUGCACUCAAAACUUUCUGGCUAGAGACUUAGAGAGGUGGGCGGAAUUCCGAGUGUAGAGGUGAAAUUCGUAGAUAUUCGGAAGAACACCGGUUGCGAAGGCGGCUCACUGGCUAAGUUCUGACGCUGAGGUGCGAAAGCGUGGGGAGCAAACAGG
rnacentral:rRNA from 1 species